GGACUGUAGGCUGCAACUCGCCUACACGAAGUCGGAAUCGCUAGUAAUCGCGGAUCAGCAUGCCGCGGUGAAUACGUUCCCGGGCCUUGUAUGCACCGCCCGUCACACCAUGGGAGUUUGUAACGCCCAAAGUCGGUGGCCUAACCUUUAUGGAGGGAGCCGCCUAAGGCGGGACAGAUGACUGGGGUGAAGUCGUAACAAGGUACC
rnacentral:rRNA from 1 species